AGGAAGGUUCAGUGUUGUGGUAGAGGCGGAGGGGAGCAGGCGCGCGCCCACCUCACCUCUCGCCACGUCAGAUAUUAAUCUUUUUUUCCUUCCUCCUGUCGUCACCCUGUGCCCUUGGGGCUCCCUCCGUCAGGAGUAGCCACCGUGCAGGACCUCUCGCACCUACACACUCUCUGGGGGGAAAAACUCAACUGCCAGUGAAAUGAAGGGAGACCAUGUGGUUUUAGUGUUGGUGAGCUGUACCUUGUGUAUUUCUGUCCCGACAUCAGCAGCUCCUCCACACAAAAAAAACAUAAACACUGCAAUUGCGAUCCAACAGAGAAACGAGACUUUAUCCGAGAAUACCGAGAGACAAAAAUCGAAGCCAGGUAAAGUACUUAUCCAAGACAAAAAUGAUGAACCUGUUCGACGGCUGAAAGAUGAUGAAUUAAAAUUGGAUGAUAACCCUGAUCAUAAACAACCACAACAGUCCAGGACUGACUCAAAAUUGAAUAACCCAGGUCAAGAUAAAAAACAGUCUGGGGUUGACCCAAACAUUGAUGAUAACCCAGGUCAGGAUGAGAAACAGUCUGGGGCUGACCCAAAAGUGGAUGAUAACCCAGGUCAGGAUGAGAAACAGUCUGGGGCUGACCCAAAAGUGGAUGAUAACCCAGGUCAGGAUGAGAAACAGUCUGGGGCUGACCCAAAAGUGGAUGAUAACCCAGGUCAGGAUGAACUACAGCCUGAGGCUGACCCAAACAUAGACGGUAAACCUGGUCAGGGUGAAAAACAGCCUGGGGCUGACCCAAAAGGGGCUGAUAAGCCUGGUCAGGAUGAACAACAGCCCACGGUUGAGCAAGAAUUGGGCGAUACCUCAGGCCAGGCUGCACAGUCUAGAGAUGACGAAAAAUUUCAUAAUAGUCCUGGUCACAACCAUGAAAUUUCUAUUGAUAACUCAGACUAUAAAAAAGAUUCUGAUCCGGGAAUUAUAUCAGCUGGAAAUGAUCAAGAAAAUAAAAAAUCUGAAGCAAAAUCUCAAGACACUGAGAACCUGAUUACUGAAGAAGCUGCUGACAACACUGAAGAUACACAGGAUCCAGGUGAUUCAGAAGUUAAAGAAGAUCCAGACACUUCAAACACUGCCUUGGCUUCAGUUAAGGAAGAUAGCAUCUUAAACACCAAUAGAGACAGUAGUGUACAGAAUUCCGAUGUUAAAGAUGGAGAGAGACCAGGAGAUGUACAGAGAAAAGAACCAGAUAAUAGAAAGUCACAUCCAAUUAUUUUUCCAGAGUCCUCUAAUCCCUCAGUUGCACCAUUACCAACACAAGGUAUUCAGGAUCCAAAUAAAUCUACCCCAGGCUCAGAAAAGGUGAGCUCCAGUAUGAAAACAACAACAACAACAACAACAACAGUAUCCAGUCUACCGAUUGUUGCAGAAAUUGCAAAGCCAGAAGACUACCAAUCAGUGGAAGCCAAAAUGGGAAAAGCUUCGGACUCUCAGUCGGAGAACGACUUGUCAUACGACGACAACAGCUACAUAAGCGAUCCUCAUGAGGAAGGAGAUUUUGAGGUGAAACCUGCCGGCAACGAGGAAGCUCCGUCGCAAGUCAAUAAUGGAGGAAAGUUCCGUGACGAUGAGGACUCGCACUUCUUUGCAUAUUUCCUCACCAUCAUGGUGACGGCCAUCAUUUUCUACCUUGUGUUCCACAAUAAGCAGAGAAUUAUUGCCUUGAUAAUUGAAGGUCGGGCACCUAGAAGUGGCAGAACUCGUAGGUCAUCUAGUCGAGCCAAAUAUCACAAGCUUGACAACAACCUUGAAGAAGCCAUAACAGCCACCAAGGGUUCAAAUAUUGCCCAGAGUUGAUGCAAAGUACUGUAUGAAGAUUUGUGCCGAGUGUGGAGUUUGCCAAGAUGAAGGAAACUGACAUGAAGUUACAGAGGAAGAGCAUGGACUACCUCAGGCCAGGUUUUGCUGUAACUCCACAAGAUCAUCAUCAUCAUCAUCAGACUGCUUGAAACUCAUGUUUUCCACAGUGCUGUACUAUAAUUCAGGUUCCUGCUGUUGUAUCACGUGCAUUCUCUGGGUAAGGUUAGGGAC
rnacentral:misc_RNA from 1 species